rnacentral:lncRNA from 1 species
UUUUCUCCAUGUAUACUUGAACGUUCAAGUCAAAUUCAUUUCUCUGUUUUUCUUCUUUUUUCUUAACUUUUUUGUCAGCAAAAAUAAAAUUGUUUUCCUGGCUCUUAAUUUUUUUUCUCUCUCUCUCUCUCCUUUGCCUUUGUCUUUUUAUUAACGUGUGUUCUGUCUUUUUUUUUUGUCAACACGUGUGUUCAGUCUUUUCACUUGUAUUAUAUUUUUAUUAAUUCAUUUAACUUUUUUUUUUUUGAAAAAUUUUCAUUUAAUAUUUUCACUUGUAUUAUAUUUUGUAACCGCGUAAUUUCAAAAUAUAACGUCUUCCUGAUUACCAACUAGAGGAAUGCAUAAGACAAAUAAUUGAAACGGUCAUUCUAACUAUAAAAUACCCAAUGUUUCAUACCUAUUUUUCAGAGAAAGAAAAACCAUAGGAAGCAUUUUAUACUUAGAUUUCUUUUUUUUUCUUUUUGAAGAGGUAGUAAUAGAACUUAAAACGUGUCAAUAACUAAUGGAAAUACUGUACCUGGUAAAAACAAAGAAAUGGUACUAGUGUUGCUUUACUAAUGCUAACACCUAAAAUGGUUUAUACACACAAUAAAAGCGAUAUAAACACACAUACAUAAAAUUCAACAAGAAAACACUGAAAACUUGUAUAACAAAAGGUUAUUAUGGUAAUCAACUUAUAAUUUGGAUGUCCUCAAAAGCCGUGAGUUAAAACUAAAAUAGUCUCGCUAAAGUCGGUGAAAAUGAUAAUUUGUUUUCAAGCCUCAGUGACAUGUUUAAUGUUUUGAUUAACUAAUGGAAAAUCAUGACGAGGUUAUCUCGAUGAAUAUGUUGGCUGUGACCUGUGAGAUGUGUGAUCUGUGAUUAGUUUAAGCCUUUAAGGUAUGGCCAGGUAAUAAGAAGCAGUCUCUUUCCAUGUGAAAUCAAAAGAUGUGAAACGACCGCCGGAUCUGAUUAUCUCCCGUAAUCUACAAGCUCGUUUUGGAAGGCUAAUCCUAAGGUCAAUACAACACCAAGAUACUGUCAAAUCUCUAUGACAACAACAACUAGUUUUUUUUCUUUUCUCCCUCUCUC